CAGAGAUCAGGCACACACACUUGGUCUCCGUUGACGUGCAGCAGGCAGCCCUUCAAUCUGGAUCAAGAGUGACUUGUCUACAUUUAGUUUGGGAGACUGAUGUCUGGCAAGGGAGCAAGAUUGAAUAAUGCCCCCUACAAAAGACAUCCUUAAAUAUUAAUCCACAUUCCUGUGAAUAUAAACCCAUCUGUAACCAGAAACUUUGAAGAUGUCACUAGUUAAGGUAUGGCCAAACUGAAU